rnacentral:rRNA from 1 species
AUUGAACGCUGGCGGCAUGCUUUACACAUGCAAGUCGAACGGUAACAGGCCGCAAGGUGCUGACGAGUGGCGAACGGGUGAGUAAUGCAUCGGAACGUGCCCAGUCGUGGGGGAUAACGCAGCGAAAGCUGCGCUAAUACCGCAUACGAUCUCUGGAUGAAAGCGGGGGACCGAAGGGCCUCGCGCGAUUGGAGCGGCCGAUGUCAGAUUAGGUAGUUGGUGGGGUAAAGGCCCACCAAGCCAACGAUCUGUAGCUGGUCUGAGAGGACGACCAGCCAAACUGGGACUGAGACACGGCCCAGACUCCUACGGGAGGCAGCAGUGGGGAAUUUUGGACAAUGGGCGCAAGCCUGAUCCAGCAAUGCCGCGUGCAGGAAGAAGGCCUUCGGGUUGUAAACUGCUUUUGUACGGAACGAAACGGUCCGGGUUAAUACCCUGGGCUAAUGACGGUACCGCAAGAAUAAGCACCGGCUAACUACGUGCCAGCCGCCGCCGUAAGAC